CUAUGGCUGCCUCAUAAUCAAGUGGUGGUUUCAGCACGUAAAACUCUCAAAUUUCUCGGCGAAAAAAAA
rnacentral:lncRNA from 1 species